rnacentral:rRNA from 1 species
GAUAAACGCUGGCGGCGCACAUAAGACAUGCAAGUCGAACGAACUUAAUCGUUAGUUUACUAAUGAAGCGGUUAGUGGCGGACUGGUGGGUAACACGUAAGCAACCUGCCUAUUAGAGGGGAACAACAGUUAGAAAUGACUGCUAAUACCGCAUAUGCCAUAAGUAUCGCAUGAUACAAGUGGGAAAGGAGCAAUCCGCUAAUAGAUGGGCUUGCGUCUGAUUAGAUAGUUGGUGGGGUAACGGCCUACCAAGUCGACGAUCAGUAGCCGAGUUGAGAGACUCUACGGCCACAUUGGGACUGAGAUACGGCCCAGACUCCUACGGGAGGCAGCAGUCGGGAAUAUUGCGCAAUGGAGGAAACUCUGACGCAGUGACGCCGCGUGCAGGAAGAAGGUUUUCGGAUUGUAAACUGCUUUAGACAGGGAAGAAAAAGACAGUACCUGUAGAAUAAGCUCCGGCUAA